AACACGAAAAGGGGGGUGGUGGUCACAUGUGAUGGGGGAACAUCCAGAGGGCUUCCUGGAGGCGGCGACUUUUAACAGGGGAUUUUAGCUGGGGUUUGGGAGACAAUGGGGACUGGAUGAAGAGCAUAAGGUCCUUACAACACAGCCUGCCUGUAAUGCGCCUGAGUGGGGAGGCGGUCAGGGCCAGAGGCGUCCGUCUGGGGGUCAUGGCUGAAGCUGGUGGUGGAGGUGAGGCCAGUCUCUCCUCUCCCCACAGGAGACUGGGAUGAGGGAAGAGGAGUUCCCCGUGUGCUGUCUAAUCCCCUGCCUUGGUGGACGAGGAGAGAAAGUAGCCUGGAGAAGCACCCCUUUAGGAGGGGAGCUUAGUGCGUGCCACGUGCUGCCCCUGAGGUCAGAUGGGGGAGGAACUGAAGGUUGGCCGUGAGGAUCUUUUUAGGAGGUCAGGUUGAAAAGGAACCGGAAGAAAGAAAGAAGUCAAUUCCAUGUGACAAACAGCCAGCCCCCUGCAAGCAGUGGUCUGCUGCAGAGAGAAAUCGUGCGGGCAGUCUGCUGUUAACACAUUCACCUCGUGCAAGCGUCACCGCUCUCUGCCUAGUUCCAGAACAUCUUUACCACCUUGAAAGGAAACCCCAUGCCCCUUAAGCAGCCCCUCCCCACCCCCCGCCGCCUUGGCAACCACCACCCUCUGUCUCCAUAGACUGGUUUUUAAUCGGUGCAAUUCUGUGUGACUUUGAAGGAAAGAAACAGAAGCAUGUGGAGGUACUUACCGGAUGCAGGGGCGGCCGGUGCCUGGCUGUCCCUGUGCAGGAGAGGCAGGAGCUGCAGUAGCUUGGAUCCUGGCCGCCCUCUCCUCAUCCUUUCUCCUUUCCUGGGGUCUCCACCUGUGUUCCCGCCACUCCCUCCUCUCUCCCUUUGCAAACGGCCCCCAGUAGAUAGCUUUCCAGCCCGCAAGUCUGCGCAGCCUGACCUCCGAGCUGCUGGGCCGUCCAGCAGGAGGGUUCCUGCCUCCUUGCCACCAGGGGAAUUCCAACAGCCCAGCCCACUCUGGAGCUGCUGCAUUUACGUCAGGUUCCUCCUGGCCCGAGCACCUGCGAGCCAGGUAGGAUAGGGAACGCCCCAGAAAGGGAUGGGUUGAAAGUCGCAGGAACUGACAUCUUUGGAACCAUCUGAGCGAUGCUUAGCAUGCCUCUGGCAAAGAGAUUUCCUAGGAGAAGCUGCUCUUUCUGAUGGUGGAAUCUGAGAGAAAUGGCCCCAGUCCUCCCCCAGAGAGGGGGCACUGUGAUGGAGGAGUCAGCCGUCUCAACAUUACCUUACAGUAGACACUGCUGUGUGUUCCUCUGAGCCACGUCCUAAAAAUGUUCCAAAUAAAAGGUUCUCUCUCCAAGGAUCUGGUGUAAUCUCAGGAUGAAACUGAGAGCGCUGAGAGCUGUGCUGUCCAGGACAGCAGCCCCUGGCUGCGUGUGGCUCUUGGUUACUUGAAAUGUGGCCAGUCCACACUGAGGCGCAGGAAGGCCAGAAUGCACACUGGAUGCCGAAGACUUUGCACGGAAAGAAAAAGACUAUAAAACAUCUCAAAGAUUUUAUUAUUGAUUACAUGUUGAAUUAAUAAUAUUUUAGCUCUCGGGUUAAGUAAAAGGCAUUACAAUUAAA